rnacentral:rRNA from 1 species
UACGAAGGGGGCUAGCGUUGUUCGGAAUUACUGGGCGUAAAGGGCGCGUAGGCGGUGUGUCAAGUCAGGCGUGAAAGCCCCGGGCUCAACCUGGGAACCGCGCUUGAGACUGGCACGCUCGAGUUCGGGAGAGGAUGGUGGAAUUCCCAGUGUAGAGGUGAAAUUCGUAGAUAUUGGGAAGAACACCGAUGGCGAAGGCAGUCAUCUGGACCGACACUGACGCUCAGGCGCGAAAGCGUGGGGAGCAAACAGG